UCUGUUUUAAAAUUGGCUAGUAGCUCUUCGGAGCGAACCACCAUUUUUCACUUAUACAAACACAAAGUCUAUGAAUGUAAACAAAUUUAUAACAAAACAAAACUUUCAACAACGGAUCUCUUGGCUCUCGCAUCGAUGAAGAACGCAGCGAAAUGCGAUACGUAAUGUGAAUUGCAGAAUUCAGUGAAUCAUCGAAUCUUUGAACGCACCUUGCGCUCCUUGGUAUUCCGAGGAGCAUGCCUGUUUGAGUGUCAUGAAAUCUUCAACCCACCUCUUUCUUAGUGAAUCUGGUGGUGCUUGGUUUCUGAGCGCUGCUCUGCUUCGGCUUAGCUCGUUCGUAAUGCAUUAGCAUCCGCAACCGAAACUUCGGAUUGACUUGGCGUAAUAGACUAUUCGCUGAGGAUUCCAGACUUGUUCUGGAGCCGAGUUGGGUUAAAGGAAGCUUCUAAUCCUAAAGUCUAUUUUUUGAUUAGAUCUCAAAUCAGGUAGGACUACCCGCUGAACUUAAGCAUAUCAAUAAGCGGAGGA
rnacentral:rRNA from 1 species